AGUUAGUGUAUGGUACAACUCUUAGUUACGGUUCGUUGUUUGUUUCGUUCUUUCUUUGUUGUUUUGUGCGUUUGUGGAACGCACAUCGUUUUGUGCGAUAUGUGGAAACCAUAUCGCGCUGCAGCUUGGUCCGCGCUGCGGUUUUGUUUCAGCGUCAAGUUGAGGGACUCGCAGUUUAAAAUUUGGAAAUGGUCUUGUUCACUCGUCGAGAACCGAAGAACCAGCAAAGUUGCUUUUGGUGCAGCGGCCGUUUGGGAUGCGGUUUGGGAUGCUGUAACGGCUGUCGUCGGUGGAAGAAGGUGAGGACCAAGGUGCAGCGUCGUAAGUGCUUAUGAUUUUUAAUAAUAAUCAAAACUGAACACUGAACAACAAAGAAACAACCAAAACAGU